rnacentral:rRNA from 1 species
GUUUGAUCCUGGCUCAGAACGAACGCUGGCGGCGCGCCUAACACAUGCAAGUCGAGCGCCUCACUUUCGGGUGGGGAGCGGCGCACGGGUGAGUAACGCGUGGGAAUCUACCCUGGGGUUCGGGACAACGGCGGGAAACUGCCGCUAACACCGGAUACGGCCUUUUGGCGAAAGUUUACGCCCUGGGAUGAGCCCGCGUCCGAUUAGCUUGUUGGUGAGGUAACGGCUCACCAAGGCUUCGAUCGGUAGCCGGUCUGAGAGGAUGAUCGGCCACACUGGGACUGAGACACGGCCCAGACUCCUACGGGAGGCAGCAGUGGGGAAUCUUGGACAAUGGGGGCAACCCUGAUCCAGCGACGCCGCGUGGGUGAUGAAGGCCUUCGGGUUGUAAAGCCCUUUUGUCGGGGACGAUGAUGACGGUACCCGGCGAAUAAGCACCGGCUAACUCCGUGCCAGCAGCCGCGGUAAUACGGAGGGUGCUAGCGUUGUUCGGAAUUACUGGGCGUAAAGGGCGCGUAGGCGGCCGUUUGCGUCGGAUGUGAAAGCCCGGGGCUCAACCUCGGAACGGCAUUCGAUACGGGACGGCUGGAGACCGGGAGAGGAGAGUGGAAUAGCCAGUGUAGAGGCGAAGUUCGUAGAUAUUGGCUGGAACACCGGUGGCGAAAGCGGCUCUCUGGCCCGGUUCUGACGCUGAGGCGCGAAAGCGUGGGGAGCAAACAGGGUUAGAUACCCUGGUAGUCCACGCCCUAAACGAUGUGUGCUGGGCGUCGGGGGGCUUGCCCCUCGGUGCCGGAGCUAACGCGGUAAGCACACCGCCUGGGGAGUACGGCCGCAAGGUUAAAACUCAAAGGAAUUGACGGGGGCCCGCACAAGCGGUGGAGCAUGUGGUUUAAUUCGACGCAACGCGCAGAACCUUACCAGCCCUUGACAUGGCGGCUGCGGCCCGGGGAGACCUGGGCUUCCCUUCGGGGGGCCGUCACAGGUGCUGCAUGGCUGUCGUCAGCUCGUGUCGUGAGAUGUUGGGUUAAGUCCCGCAACGAGCGCAACCCUUAUCUCUAGUUGCCAGCGGGUAGGGCCGGGCACUCUAGAGAGACCGCCGGUGACAAGCCGGAGGAAGGUGGGGAUGACGUCAAGUCCUCAUGGCCCUUAUGGGCUGGACUACACACGUGCUACAAUGGCGGUGACAGUGGGCAGCGAAACAGUGAUGUGGAGCAAAUCCCCAAAAGCCGUCUCAGUUCGGAUCGCAGGCUGCAACUCGCCUGCGUGAAGGUGGAAUCGCUAGUAAUCGUGGAUCAGCACGCCACGGUGAAUACGUUCCCGGGCCUUGUACACACCGCCCGUCACACCAUGGGAGUUGGCUCUACCCGAAGCCGAUGAGCCAACCGUCGCAAGACGGAGGCAGUCGUCCACGGUCGGGUUAGCGACUGGGGUGAAGUCGGAACAAGGUAGCCGUAGGGGACCUGCGGCUG